GCGGUGGCGGGGUCCCGCUCCCGGUAGCGGUCCCGCCCGGCCCUCGGCAGGCAGGUGUGGUGGGGCCCGGGGCUGCUGCGGCCUAGCCCGGCCCGGCCGGAGAGAAGAGCGGAGCGGAGCGCUGCCGGCGCCGGCUCGCAGCCGCCUGAGGGAAGAGGCGCGGCGCAGCCCGGCGCUCCCCGCGCCCCCGCCGCAGCACAGCUCGGCCGCCGCCUGACCCGCCGCCCCGGGCCCCGCGGCGGCCGCCGAGCACCUGAGGCCUCCGCCCGCAGCGGCCGGGGCUGGGGAGGUGGGUGCAGCCUACCAUCCAGCCAGCAGCCCAGGGAUGCCUGUGGACCCACAUGAGCCAGCACCGAUAAGGACCCUUUCAUGCCAUGGUGGACUCCAGAGAUGUAGGAACCCCUGUCUUGGAGGCUACAGAAACAGGGUCUCAAAAGCUGAAUUGCUCUAAAUCCACAUGCCAAAGCGGAACCUGUUUUUCCUGACUCUGUGCCCUGCACUCAGCUAUCAGUCUUGCCUGCAAUGCUGUAAAGCAGAUAUUGCUGUGGAAGAGCCUGGCUGAUGAGACACACAGUUCCUACUCAUCUCCUUGAGUAUCAAGUGGUGUCAACUGGGAUGACUGGAGAAGCCCAUCUCUUCCCCUCGUCCUCUGAGAUCAGACUUUUCUGGAGGAACUGCCAUUGCCUUGCUGGGAGGCCGAAGCGGUGAGGUGCAGACCCCCGGGUGCCUUGCCAGGGAUUUGUUAGAUGGAAGCCUAGGCAAUGAAGAAAGUAAGGAAAUCUCACCGGGAGCAACACCCACGUGCAGGUACCAAACGCCUGCAUGCACCUGAAUUCAAUUGAUGCAAAGAAGCUGAAUUUAAAAUGCACUACAGAACAAAACAGGUCCAGCUGGAGGAUUUUCUGUCAGAGAAAGGAGAAGCCUGGGGAAGCAGCAGGCAGAAACACUGAGCUGUGACACAUUCCUCCUGUCUGAGCAUUGUCAUUUUGGCUUGUGGCCUGCUGAUGGUAAGACAGAAUGACUACACCUUCUGGCUCCCGCAGCCCUCCAUCUGUCUGUGUACCUCUUCCUUCUUUGAGAACCAGGGUCCACA